rnacentral:rRNA from 1 species
GAUGAACGCUGGCGGCGUGCUUAACACAUGCAAGUCGAACGAAACACCUUAUUUGAUUUUCUUCGGAACUGAAGAUUUGGUGAUUGAGUGGCGGACGGGUGAGUAACGCGUGGGUAACCUGCCCUGUACAGGGGGAUAACAGUCAGAAAUGACUGCUAAUACCGCAUAAGACCACAGCACCGCAUGGUGCAGGGGUAAAAACUCCGGUGGUACAGGAUGGACCCGCGUCUGAUUAGCUGGUUGGUGAGGUAACGGCUCACCAAGGCGACGAUCAGUAGCCGGCUUGAGAGAGUGAACGGCCACAUUGGGACUGAGACACGGCCCAAACUCCUACGGGAGGCAGCAGUGGGGAAUAUUGCACAAUGGGGGAAACCCUGAUGCAGCGACGCCGCGUGAGUGAAGAAGUAUUUCGGUACGUAAAGCUCUAUCAGCAGGGAAGAAAAUGACGGUACCUGACUAAGAAGCCCCGGCUAACUACGUG